AAUCCAUGUUGUGGGCACAGAUGGAAAGACUCUUGUAUCGCUUCCAAGCCUCUGAAUAAUAUUCAAUUACCAAUUGUUGGAAUGUAGUUAUCUCAUCUCGCUGCUU
rnacentral:snoRNA from 1 species